UACGGAGGAUCCAAGCGUUAUCCGGAUUUAUUGGGUUUAAAGGGUGCGUAGGCGGCCUUGUAAGUCAGGGGUGAAAGACGGCAGCUCAACUGUCGCAGUGCCUUUGAUACUGCAGGGCUUGAAUACACUUGAAGUAGGCGGAAUGUGACAAGUAGCGGUGAAAUGCAUAGAUAUGUCACAGAACACCGAUUGCGAAGGCAGCUUACUAAAGUGUGAUUGACGCUGAGGCACGAAAGCGUGGGGAUCAAACAGG
rnacentral:rRNA from 1 species